GCCAGGCAUGGUGGUGCACACCUGUAAUCCCAGUGGCUUGGGAGGUUGAGGCAGGAGGAUCGCGAGUUCAGAGCCAGCGUCAGCAACAGCGAGGCACUAAGCAACUCAGUGAGCCCCUGUCUCUA
rnacentral:sRNA from 1 species